GACGAACGCUGGCGGCGUGCUUAACACAUGCAAGUCGAACGAUGAAGCCGGAGCUUGCUCUGGUGAAUUAGUGGCGAACGGGUGAGUAACACGUGAGUAACCUGCCCUUGACUCUGGGAUAACUGCUAGAAAUGGUAGCUAAUACCGGAUACGACCCUCGGCGGCAUCGCCAGGGGGUGGAAAGAAUUUCGGUCAAGGAUGGACUCGCGGCCUAUCAGCUAGUUGGUGAGGUAACGGCUCACCAAGGCGACGACGGGUAGCCGGCCUGAGAGGGUGACCGGCCACACUGGGACUGAGAUACGGCCCAGACUCCUACGGGAGGCAGCAGUGGGGAAUAUUGCACAAUGGGCGCAAGCCUGAUGCAGCGACGCCGCGUGAGGGAUGACGGCCUUCGGGUUGUAAACCUCUUUCAGCACCGACGAAGCGCAAGUGACGGUAGGUGCAGAAGAAGGACCGGCCAACUACGUGCCAGCCGCCGCAGUAA
rnacentral:rRNA from 1 species